CAGGACGAACGCGGGCGGCGUGCCUAAUACAUGCAAGUCGAGCGGACAGAUGGGAGCUUGCUCCCCGAUUUUAGCGGCCGAACGGGUGAGUAACACGUGGGUAACCUGCCUGUAAGACUGGGAUAACUCCGGGAAACCGGGGCUAAUACCGGAUGGUUGUCUGAACCGCAUGGUUCAGACAUAAAAGGUGGCUUCGGCUACCACUUACAGAUGGACCCGCGGCGCAUUAGCUAGUUGGUGAGGUAACGGCUCACCAAGGCGACGAUGCGUAGCCGACCUGAGAGGGUGAUCGGCCACACUGGGACUGAGACACGGCCCAGACUCCUACGGGAGGCAGCAGUAGGGAAUCUUCCGCAAUGGACGAAAGUCUGACGGAGCAACGCCGCGUGAGUGAUGAAGGUUUUCGGAUCGUAAAGCUCUGUUGUUAGGGAAGAACAAGUGCCGUUCAAAUAGGGCGGCACCUUGACGGUACCUAACCAGAAAGCCACGGCUAACUACGUGCCAGCAGCCGCGGUAAUACGUAGGUGGCAAGCGUUGUCCGGAAUUAUUGGGCGUAAAGGGCUCGCAGGCGGUUUCUUAAGUCUGAUGUGAAAGCCCCCGGCUCAACCGGGGAGGGUCAUUGGAAACUGGGGAACUUGAGUGCAGAAGAGGAGAGUGGAAUUCCACGUGUAGCGGUGAAAUGCGUAGAGAUGUGGAGGAACACCAGUGGCGAAGGCGACUCUCUGGUCUGUAACUGACGCUGAGGAGCGAAAGCGUGGGGAGCGAACAGGAUUAGAUACCCUGGUAGUCCACGCCGUAAACGAUGAGUGCUAAGUGUUAGGGGGUUUCCGCCCCUUAGUGCUGCAGCUAACGCAUUAAGCACUCCGCCUUGGGAAGUU
rnacentral:rRNA from 1 species